UACGAGGGGGGCAAGCGUUGUUCGGAUUCAUUGGGCGUAAAGGGUGCGUAGGUGGCGGGGUAAGUCAGGUGUGAAAUCUCGGGGCUCAACCCCGAAACUGCACUUGAUACUGCCUUGCUCGAGUACUGGAGAGGAGAUUGGAAUUUACGGUGUAGCAGUGAAAUGCGUAGAUAUCGUAAGGAAGACCAGUGGCGAAGGCGAAUCUCUGGACAGUUACUGACACUGAGGCACGAAGGCCAGGGGAGCAAACGGG
rnacentral:rRNA from 1 species